CUAUAGGCUCCACUAGGAGCCAUCUCUAUAUAUAGUCACCUUACUG
rfam:Nipponia nippon contig41107, whole genome shotgun sequence.